GGACAAUUAGCUCAGUUGGUUAGAGCGUCACAUUGACAUUGUGAAGGUCACUGGUUCGAAUCCAGUAUUGUCCACAA
rnacentral:tRNA from 2 species